AUACGGAGGGUGCAAGCGUUACUCGGAAUCACUGGGCGUAAAGCGCGCGCAGGCGGGCUGAUAAGUUGGAUGUGAAAGCCUACGGCUCAACCGUAGAACUGCAUCCAAAACUGUCAGUCUGGAGUGUGGGAGAGGAAGAUGGAAUUAGUUGUGUAGGGGUAAAAUCCGUAGAGAUAACUAGGAAUACCAAAAGCGAAGGCAAUCUUCUGGAACACUACUGACGCUGAGGCGCGAAGGCGUGGGGAGCAAACAGGAUUAGAAACCCGGGUAGUCC
rnacentral:rRNA from 1 species